rnacentral:rRNA from 1 species
UACGAAGGGGGCUAGCGUUGCUCGGAAUGACUGGGCGUAAAGGGCGCGUAGGCGGAUGGCAUAGUCAGAUGUGAAAUUCCCGGGCUUAACCCGGGGACUGCAUUUGAUACGUGUCGUCUUGAGUUCGGAAGAGGGUCGUGGAAUUCCCAGUGUAGAGGUGAAAUUCGAUAGAUAUUGGAAAGACCACCGAUGGCGAAGGCACUCUACUGGGCCAUUACUGACACUGAGAGACGAAAGCUAGGGGAGCAAAUGGG